rnacentral:rRNA from 1 species
UGAGGAAUAUUGGUCAAUGGGCGAUGGCCUGAACCAGCCAAGUAGCGUGAAGGAUGACUGCCCUAUGGGUUGUAAACUUCUUUUAUAAAGGAAUAAAGUCGGGUAUGGAUACCCGUUUGCAUGUACUUUAUGAAUAAGGAUCGGCUAACUCCGUGCCAGCAGCCGCGGUAAUACGGAGGAUCCGAGCGUUAUCCGGAUUUAUUGGGUUUAAAGGGAGCGUAGAUGGAUGUUUAAGUCAGUUGUGAAAGUUUGCGGCUCAACCGUAAAAUUGCAGUUGAUACUGGAUAUCUUGAGUGCAGUUGAGGCAGGCGGAAUUCGUGGUGUAGCGGUGAAAUGCUUAGAUAUCACGAAGAACUCCGAUUGCGAAGGCAGCCUGCUAAGCUG